rnacentral:lncRNA from 1 species
UUAUCCACCGGGUGGAGUACCGAAUUAUAAGGGCAGACAGAAUUGAGAAGCAUGCCAGUGUCUGGAGGGAUGCUGACAUCAUAGUCUUCAAUUCUUACCUGUGGUGGAGGAAGCAGAAGGAUGACAUGAGGAUGAAGGUCAUGUAAGUGCAUCUCUAUCCUUCCUAAUCAUAGCUCAUAGGUAUUGCACUGUCAGUUUCACAUACCAGAAAAAAAAGAUACCAGAUCUGGUAAUUUAAAAUGCACUAAUAACAUAGUAGUUACCAACUGCAAUCAGUGAAUAGGUUAUUAACACUUGCAUGUGCAGGUAUGGCUCAUUUGAAGAUGGUGAUGCAAAAUUAGAUGAAAUGGAAAUGGUCGAUGGUUUCGAGAUAGCUCUCAAGAAACUAACCGAAUGGCUUGGAGAGAAUAUUGACAGGAACAAGACUAGGAUCUUUUUUGCAGGAUCGUCACCAACACAUUCCUGGUGAGAGAGAUACCCAUGAAUCAUUUGCAACACCAAUACUACAAUACCAACAUCUCCAUGACAUCCAGUGUUUACAUGUGUUACUUUCAGGGCUAGCAACUGGGGUGGAGAAGACAAGAACAAAUGUCUUAAUGAAACGGAGCCAAUCUACAAAAAAGGUUACAAAGCUGCAACUACGGACUACAGCUUGAUGGCCACGGCCAAGUCCUAUUUCCGAACAUUGGAGCCAAAAGGCAUACAUGUUCAGAUACUGAACAUCACUGAACUGUCUGACUACCGCAAGGACGGGCAUCCUACGGUGUACAGGAAACAAUUUGUUCCUCUAACGAAGGAGCAAAUUGCAGACCCAGCCAGUUAUGCAGAUUGCACACAUUGGUGCCUCCCCGGAGUUCCUGAUGUGUGGAACGAGUUUUUAUAUGGCUACCUCGUGCACAAAUGAUGUACAAAAUGUCAGGUUCCUUUUACCCCUUAUAUAAAUAUAUGUACAGAUGACAUACACCAUCUAGAUUAGGCUGCUUUCAUUUGUGCAGAGAAUUGUUGCCCCAUUACACUUACAUUACAUGUAUUGUAGAGACAAAAGGAGAAAAGCAAGAGUCUAUCUGUAAAGAUUGGAAACAUUCAGAGAAUGACAUGUGCAGCGAUGUACUAUUUGUAGGCAUCUGACAGGGCAACAUAUUUCUGCAAAUCUCAAAGAAAUGUAGCAUGGCAAAGAACACCAAUGUCCUGGAAUCCUGGAUGUCUCUGAAAUGGAUUCAGUUCAUCCAGACCGGCAGGCAGGCGAGGAAGAAAAGCAGGACAUUUGACCGGUGGGUAAGGAGAGGAGCAACCUGAGCAAAAAGUGCUAUUCCACGUUGUCGCUGGCCCGCCGCGCGCAGUAGCAGCAGCAGCAGCAGCAUACGGAACCCGUGGAGGGAGCACGACGCCAUCGCCGCGCGCAGGCCCACAUCGAAACGCGCCACCAUGGCCACUGGUCACCGCCGGCGGCCGCCGCAACUCGGCAAAGCUUACGGGCUACGGGUGGAUGCCGUGACAUUUGACAGACGAAGCCCAAAUUAAUUGGGCCUCAGCAGUUACAAGACGAGCAGCCCAUAUAUGGGAGGGUACCGUACAUUCACAUGGAUUGCGAGAGAGAGAGAGAGAGAGCUAUAUUGCGAGAAUGUGCAUAUGUAACGGUAAACUAUAGAAAAUGUCUUAUUUAUUUAUUUAUUAUUAAUGAGGGAGUUAUCACCGUGUUUAGUUCCCCUUUCAUUCCAAAAAAUUAUGGGUUUGGUUCAUCAUUUUGCAUAAUAGAACUAAACAUCAUAUAAAUUUUUUGGCAAAAUAGUUAUCAUUCUCCAUUUUGGAUUUUGGUCUCAAGAGGAAAAAAAAUCCAAAAGAGCCUCAACAGGCCAUAAUGAGGGUAAUAAAUUCUGUAUUUUGGCUAAAAGUUUGGCAUUUUCAAUUUUAUCAUUUCAAAGUAGUUGGUAUUUUGUAUUUUGCAUUCUAUGGGGAACCAAAUAGGCCCGAAAGAAGAAGAAGAAGAAGGAAAGGAGUAACUAAAAUUCCCAAGUCUGGUAACAACUUACAUUUAGCGGUAAGUGGUAAGGUCUAAACCGAGUUACAUUAUGAUCUAGGUUGACAACAUUCUUUGUUUCAAAAACAAGAUGACAAACAUUUCGACCCUCAUCCUUCACGUGUGCGCCAAUAUGGAGAGCGGCACAUGCAUCUUCUUCCUCUCGUCUUCCUCCCCUCUCUCCCUCUGUGCUAAUCUCCCUCCUCUUGUCCGUUGGCCAGCCCGCUGGCGACCUCACCACCCACCAUUCCCUUGUCGAAUGAACCCACCCUUCCCUAAUCCCAAUCCAAGAGUUCACUAGCGACUUCUGCCCUGCCAGCCGGCCAUGGUCGCUAAGUCCCCUGUAACCUUCUUCACAACCGACGACGAGGUGUGCCUGCCCCUCCUUGUGGGCACACACAGGUCCAGCCCACGUCGUGCCCGCCCCCGCUAUUGAUGCACGACCAAGGUUUUGGAAUUUAUUUUGGAAAAAAAUUGGUCGGACGAAUUUCGGAUAUUUUGGACUCAAUUCGAUGAAUUUUCAGAGAUUUGAAUCACAAAUUUUUUUUCAGACCUAAUUGGAAUGGACAAAUUUUACCUAACCCUUUCUUUUGGUCUUUGGAGCCACUCAUUUCUUGCUAUGCUUAAAGAAGGCAUGCAAAAAGGGUCUGUGAUUCGUACCGAGUAGGGUUAUUUUAAGAUACCAAACCAAACCAAAGAUAGAAUGUGUUCGUUUGUGAUAUUACCUCUAGGUACUUGCAUCAGAUUAAAUUAUCAUAGUGCCCCCGAACAACUGCAAUAAUGAGGAUCAACCCUACUACUUUUUUUGGGGUGGAAAGUAUGGAAAGGAAGGCAAACAAAAGGCAAGGCUAAUCAUUGAUUGUCUUUGCACAACUAAACGUUUUUCAGCAGUUUUUCUUUAAAACACCGCAUUGUCUUCAAAAGCAACACAUUUGUAUCUCACUUAUUUUUGUUGAUACACUGAUAGGCCAAUAUGAUGGCCCCCUUUGAUGCCAUGUGCACACAUUUGGGCAAAAGUCUGCAGUGGUUGACUCAGAAUUACUAAAUUAAUCUGAAGUAUGCACGCAUGUGUUGUGCAAAACAUGUAGCUUUACAGUGUAUCCUUAAGAAAAGAAGAAGAGCGAGUAACUGUGUAGCUUAAAAUAGAAUGCUCAAUUUACUCUUAAGUUUAUGCAUAGAUAGGCCAAAUUGAUCAUUACCAAUUCCCCUUUUUAAUAUGAAUCCUGCCACACAAUAAAAAGGACCACAAACUGUAUCGUGCCUCACAGCAAUGCUUCAUAUUUAUGUAGGGACAAGGGGACCAUGACGAACUUAAAUUAUUCACUAGUGUACUGCUUUGGACAGAACGGGCAAUUUGCAUAGAUAAUUCCUUCUUAAGAAUUCUGGAAAGAUGAAAGUGUUAGUAGUUCUCAGGGAAACAAAGACAGUGCACAUAUUGGUUUACUAGAGUAUAACCAGAAAUAGAGGAUUAUGACGAUUUGAAUUCAAACAUUAGUGAUCAUUGCAUUCAGGAGGUUAAUAGGUUUAGAUUAAUCAUUAUUUAUGCUAGGCAAGGAUGCAUGCUGGCCAUUAGCUCAUCGCCUUUUUUGUUGCUUGAGAUGCACUCAUUGGUCUUUUGGAGGUGACACACUCAGUAGUGUUUCAGUCCUUUGUUUAUUGGCAUGCUAACAGUACUAGCUAGUCCUAUCUAUAAUGGUUGGUGUGAGUGGAUUGGUGCAGCCGUCGGUGACACAAAUAAACACUUCUACAUUCUGAUAUUCUAACCUUUUUGUUUCAUUUUUUUAUUUUUUUGGGAAAAAAUAGUACUAGUGACAGGUAGAUAAUAUCUUUACCACACACGAUACUCAUCCGUAGAUGAUUUUGCAAAUUCAGACAGUAGUAUUAUAACCGUAAUACACCGAUGUAUACACAAUAACUUUCUAUUUCUGAUUUCCGUACAAGGGCUAUUCUAACUACUUUGAACUGCAAAAAGAUUCAUCUCUACAACAACAUUCCAAACAGUCCGACACUGCCCCCCUUUUUGGUGGUUAGCGAGCCCAAAGGUCAAAGCUCAGGUCGCUUGAGUAUCACUACUUUUUCCAGUGCUGGACCAUAUAGCCAUGUGCUGGCGUGUUGCUAGCAGCAUUGCCAUUGUACAGUCUCAAAAGGUGACCAUAAAAGAGGAGAGCUAAGCACUCGGCUCCUGAAGAAAGAAUGAAGACAGAGGCCACUCACAAGGCGAUAGCAGCAGGUGGCAAGAUGACGGUGCUCCACUCUCCGGUUGGAGUGAGGAGCAUCGUCACCUCCAUGGUGGCUUUCUUCAUCUUAGCCAGCUCCAUCGUCUUCCUCCUUGACAGAGGCCAGGAAGAGCAAGUGCAAAUGGCAAUCGAGCAUGGACGCCAAGAAGUGCAGGUGAAGCUGGAAGCUGGGCUCCAAGAACCAGCGAUCAGAGGGACAACUGACGAGGGGGACGCCAGCAAUGAGGAGUGCAACUGGUCGAGGGGGCGGUGGGUGUACGACAACGUCUCCCGGCCAUUGUACAACGGGCUCAAGUGCACCUUCAUCUUCCCCGAGGUGGCCUGUGACAAGUAUGGAAGGAAGGAUGUCAUGUAUCAGCACUGGAGAUGGCAGCCUCACGGAUGCGACCUCCCAAGGUAUGAUGAUUAAUUACAGGUUUCCCACUUAUUUUUAGCCCAAGCCAAACACUGAGAUAAUCUGUAACUGAAUAAAAACCUACAGUAGGAUAGAACAACAGAAAGGAAGGAACAACUAGUACUGAGAUUGCAAAGCUGAUCUCACUAGAGUUGUUAGCUGGAGGCCAACAAAAACUAAUUAAACAUGCACGGCAACUAACUGACAGUGAAAGGUCCUACCUUUUAUUUUACCAUCUGUACCAUUUCAAAAGCUUGUAUGUAAGAGUAGAAAGGAGAUCAUAUUUAGCAUAACUUUGCAUAGAAUUAUUUGACAUGCUGUCUGAAUUUUACCUUUUCAAAACAGAUUUGAUGCCAUCAAGCUGCUUGAAAAGCUGAGGAAUAAGAGAUUGGUGUUUGUGGGUGACUCAGUCAACAGGAAUCAAUGGGUCUCUCUUGUGUGCAUGGUGGAGGCCUCAAUACCCGAUGACAGGCUCAAGACACGCAUCUUCAAUGGCUCACUCAUCUCCUUUAAGGCAUUGGUAUGCUUCCCUUCACAAAUCUACAGGCUAGAGGCUACAGAAACCAACAAUUUUAUUUGGUUAGCCUGUUUGAACAUAUAAUCAUUUUCAGGAAUACAAUGCAACAAUAGAUUUCUACUGGUCACCACUACUGGUGGAGUCUAACAGCGACAACCCCAUUAUCCACCGGGUGGAGUACCGGAUCAUAAGGGCAGAUAGAAUUGAGAAGCAUGCCAGUGUCUGGAGGGACGCUGACAUCAUUGUCUUCAAUUCUUACCUGUGGUGGAGGAAGCAGAAGGAUGACAUGAGGAUGAAGGUCAUGUAAGUACAUUUCUAACCUUCCUAAUCAUAGCUCAUAGGUAUUGCACUGUCAGUUUCGCAUAUUAGAAAAAAAAACCAGAACUGGUAAUUUAAAAUGCCCUAACAUAGCUAAUUAAUGUGAUUUGGAAAGUUUCUGGCUGGCUAUUCGCCCAGCACAGACUCACUCUAUUCUUAUCUUCUCAUUCUUACAUAAAGCCCUCUUACAAACAACUAUUUACAUCAACAAUAGCUACCAAAUGCAAUCAGCGAAUAGGUAAUAAUAAAACUUGUAUAUAU